GGAAGAAACUUUUUUCAAGUCUCAAGGUUCCUGAGCCCCUGGACAAAGCUUCUUUAAUUAAGUCGAUUGAAGCCCAGAGGAAAUUGAGGGAGCAGCUGAUCUCAGACUAAAGAAGAGGAAGCAAAAGUGCUACGUGGAUAGGACUGUCCUGCUGAGAAAACCAAGACACACAUGAAGUUAGAAAGUCACACAGGUAGAGAGAAAGAGACAACAUGGGUAUUGAGGAGGCUUGAGGCACAGGAGCAGGAGCCACAGGAGGAAAGCCAACCCCUCUCUCAAGCCAAGUCCAGCCAGAAGCACGGGCUACGUGCAUGCCGACCAACAAAGCUUGAAAAGAACUGGGACCAGUUAAACAACAGGCUACAAAAGGAAGAGAAGCCAAUGAAAUGAAGCACCCCAUGUGGAUGGACAACUGCGGGGAAGAACUUCUCAGGCAGAAAGCAUAAAGUCCCUGAGGCAAGGAGCAACAGGAGGACAUAGGAGAGAGAAAUCAAUGUUCUUUGAAGGCAGCAAACUCCCAGGAAGAAGGGAAGAAAUAGCUGGAGAAUGAGCCCUAGAAUUGGGCAGGCCUAUCCACUCAGGCCCAAGCUUCGCUGGGUCAUGGCGGACUUCCCCAUGAGGCCCUGCCUGAAACUCACAGCACAGAGGAGAAAGGGCAGAGCAUGCAUGACCCCCUGUGGGAAACUCCCUACCAAGAGGUGAGGGGCUGGAGGGUGCUGGAGUCCCCAGACCCCGUUUCUCCUUCAGAACUCACCUAUCAGGUAAGUCGUUCCAUCUGGUGGGGAGGGUGAGUGAGAGAGUAGAAGGAGGCCAGGAAUGUGACACUGGCUCACGUCCCCCACAUGGAAGUAAGCAUCAGGCCUGGGGAAGGAGGGUUUGUCUCCCAAUAGUUGUGACUUCAGAGUGAGGCCUUGGACUCUGAGGGGCUGCUCUACCCAUGCCUGGGCCGUGGAGCCUCCAUCCCUGAGGCAGACGCCAAAAAGGCAAAAGGGAGCAAGAAAUCUGAAGAUAUAAGCAAGGUGAAGGGUGGCACCUCCGGCAUUGACGCCCCCUCCCCUCGACGUUGCCCACACGAGUGCCAAGUGGAUUCCCUUGGGCACCACAAAAGUCCCAGAGGAGGAAGUGAGAGGUAAAAGGUACAGGAUGAAGCAAGGAUGAGGUCACCUUGCACCUUCAAAACUUAGUCAAAAUGGGUUGCUGCAGAAGAGGCUGGAAUGAGAGAUGGGAUCGAGAGGAUUUGAAGUGGUACACAAGAUACAACCCCAUCUCAUCAGACAGAAAUGAAAACGAGCAUGAUGAUAUGACUUGGCUUGGUUAUUUAUAGUGGGUAUUAGAUAUCAUCUCUUUGUAGGAAAAGAGGGCAGACCUUAAGCAUUAGUUUUCCACCAUGUUCUUCCAGACACAAUAUGUUUCUAUGGAAUUAAGAAAAGUAAUCCCCAGAGGCCCUACUCACGCUCAUAUAUACACACAGUUGUUUUUUGGUUUUUGUUUUGUGAAGGUGAUCAUAUAAUACUUUAUGAUAAAGUAUUAUAUGACUUGAUU